AUGGAGAAUCAUCUCGCGAUCCUGGCGUUGUUUCUGGGCGUGUGCAUGUCACAGCUCGGGGGUUCAGCGGCUCAGCAGUACUGGACGCCGGCCAACGCGACGUUCUAUGGCGGCGGCGACGCGUCCGGCACAAUGGGUGGAUCCUGCGGUUACGGCAACCUGUACGACGCCGGGUAUGGGACCAGCUCGACGGCGCUGAGCACGACGCUGUACGGCGACGGCAGGUCGUGCGGCGCUUGCUACGUCAUCACCUGCGACGCCUACCACACGCAGUCGUGCAAGCCGGGGACGUCCAUCACCGUCACGGCCACCAACUUCUGCCCGCCCAACUGGUCGCAGCCAAGCGACGACGGCGGCUGGUGCAACCCGCCGCGGCAGCACUUCGACAUGUCCCAGCCCGCCUGGGAGACCAUCGCCGUCUACCAGGCCGGCUUCGUGCCCAUCAAGUACGCCAGGACGGCGUGCCCGCGGAGGAACGGCGGCAUCCGCUUCUCCAUCACCGGCCAUGACUACUUCGAUCUGGUCCUCAUCAGCAACGUCGGCGGAAGCGGCGCCGUGUCGGCGGCGUGGGUGAAGGGCUCCAACACGGACUGGCUGCCCAUGAGCCGCAACUGGGGCUCUAACUGGCAGAGCAACGGCUACCUCACCGGCCAGAGCCUGUCGUUCCAGGUGCAGACGGACGAUGGCAGGUCCGUCACGGCGUACAACGUGGCGCCGGCAUACUGGAAGUUCGGCGACACUUACACGUCUUCCGUUAACUUCUACUAG
rnacentral:rRNA from 1 species